rnacentral:rRNA from 1 species
GACGAAGGUGGCGAGCGUUACUCGGAUUUACUAGGCGUAAAGCGUGGGCAGGCGGCUCGAUAAGUCUCUUGUGAAAGCCUUGGGCUUAACCCAGGGAGGCCAAGGGAUACUGUCGGGCUUGGAUGUGGGAGAGGAGACUGGAAUUCCCGGUGUAGCGGUGAAAUGCGUUGAUAUCGGGAGGAACACCAAUGGCGAAAGCAAGUCUCUGGACCACCAUCGACGCUCAUCCACGAAAGCUGGGGGAUCAAACAGG